rnacentral:rRNA from 1 species
UACGGAGGGUGCAAGCGUUAUCCGGAUUCACUGGGUUUAAAGGGUGCGUAGGUGGGUUGGUAAAUCCGUGGUGAAAUCUCCGAGCUUAACUCGGAAACUGCCGUGGAUACUAUCAAUCUUGAAUACUGUGGAGGUAAGCGGAAUAUGUCAUGUAGCGGUGAAAUGCUUAGAUAUGACAUAGAACACCGAUAGCGGAGGCAGCUUGCUACACAGUCAUUGACACUGAGGCACGAAAGCGUGGGGAUCAAACAGG